rnacentral:rRNA from 1 species
ACGUUCGGAUUGCAGUCUGCAACUCGACNGCAUGAAGCUGGAAUCGCUAGUAAUCGCGGAUCAGAAUGCCGCGGUGAAUACGUUCCCGGGUCUUGUACACACCGCCCGUCACACCAUGGGAGUCAGUAACGCCCGAAGUCAGUGACCGAACCGAGAGGACGGAGCUGCCGAAGGCGGGACGGAUAACUGGGGUGAAGUCGUAACAAGGUAAC